rnacentral:tRNA from 2 species
CGGGAUGUGGCUCAGCUUGGUAGAGCGCCUGCUUUGGGAGCAGGAUGCCGCAGGUUCAAAUCCUGUCAUCCCGACCA